rnacentral:rRNA from 2 species
CGGACGGGUGAGUAACGCGUGAGAAUCUGGCUUCAGGUUCGGGACAACAGUUGGAAACGGCUGCUAAUACCGGAUGUGCCUUAUGGUGAAAGAUUUAUCACCUGAAGAUGAGCUCGCGUCUGAUUAGCUAGUAGGUGUGGUAAGAGCGCACCUAGGCGACGAUCAGUAGCUGGUCUGAGAGGAUGAUCAGCCACACUGGGACUGAGACACGGCCCAGACUCCUACGGGAGGCAGCAGUGGGGAAUUUUCCGCAAUGGGCGAAAGCCUGACGGAGCAAUACCGCGUGAGGGAGGAAGGCUCUUGGGUUGUAAACCUCUUUUCUCAGGGAAGAAUGAUGACGGUACCUGAGGAAUAAGCAUCGGCUAACUCCGUGCCAGCAGCCGCGGUAAUACGGAGGAUGCAAGCGUUAUCCGGAAUGAUUGGGCGUAAAGCGUCCGCAGGUGGCAAUGUAAGUCUGCUGUCAAAGCGUCUGGCUCAACCAGAUAAAGGCAGUGGAAACUACAUAGCUAGAGUAAGGUAGGGGUAGAGGGAAUUCCUGGUGUAGCGGUGAAAUGCGUAGAGAUCAGGAAGAACACCGGUGGCGAAAGCGCUCUGCUGGACCUUAACUGACACUGAGGGACGAAAGCUAGGGGAGCGAAUGGGAUUAGAUACCCCAGUAGUC